GUGUCCCCUCGUGGGCCGAACGGACGCAGCGGUGCCCCGCGCCCGGCCAGACGUCCCGUGGGCUAGGGCCUGGGCCUCGGGCCGCGUCGGCGCCGGACGAGCCUCUCCGGGUGUCGGGGUUCGGGGCGGGCGCGCGUGGGCGUGGCUCCUCUGUCCACGCCUGUUCCCUUCGUCGCCGCGGCUCUCGUCCGGGACACGGCUUUCCGGAGUAGAGCCCUUGGAGGUGUUAAGUGUGAUGCUUCCAUAAUACAUUUGGAUGUUGUCAGCUAAGUUCACUUCUGAACUAAGGGGUUCCUCCAAAUGUUGGCUGAAAUUCAUCCCAAGGCUGGUCUGCAAAGUUUACAAUUCAUAAUGGAGCUACUGUACUGGCUAUUGGAAGGAGGAGAUUCUGAAGAUAAGGAGUUCUCUUGUAGGAUGCCACUGGAAAUGUUGAAAUGAAAAAUAUUCAGCCGUCGGUCUUUGAAAUUUCCUGUGAUGUAUUUCAAUCGAGAUGCAAAGAACAUGGAAAAAUCAAAGUGCUCAAGUGGUUUAAAUAUGUUUUGGAUGUUCCUGUUUAUAGACUAUAAUACUUUUCCAAUUAAAAUCCU
rnacentral:lncRNA from 1 species